UGCGGAUGUCCUCAGCAACUUAACAUCACUCCAAGAUGUGACUCUACGAGGGUGCUGGGCCAUCACUUCGCUGGGGGGUAUAAGAUCCCUCCGCCAUCUCAAAAAUCUCCUUCUAAUUGGAUGCCCCUGCUUGGACGGUGAAACUGCUUUGCCGCCGUCCUCGUUGCAGUCUAUCCUUUUUGAGUCUUGUGCAGAUGUAGAUGUAAUACUAGCAAAUGCGGAUUUGCCAUGUCUAUCUCGUCUUACAAUUACUCAAUGUCAUAUGCGAACGGCAUCGUUACAGCUGGGCAACCUCCCAUCUCUUAGCUCCUUGAGUAUUGAGCAUUGUCCUGGGCUCUCAUUGUUGCAGGAUAUACUGGAACUGCACUCCCUAGAAUUUCUCGUUCUGAUGAACUGCCCAAAUCUGCAACCAGUGAUGAAUUUUCCCAUGUCACUCAAAAGUUUAGAAAUAUGGGGAUGUCCGAUUAUAAAGGUGCAAUACUUAAAAUUCGACCGCGUUCGUGCGCGCGUAUGCUUGGUGCCAGCCCUGUAGAAGACAACUUCGAAUUUCGAAACAUGCUCUGUAAUGUGGAAAAGAGCUAAUUGAUGAUGGGCUUUUUUUUAAGCUUCUGAAGAUUGGGGAAAAAAAAGUUUAUUAAUGGGUAUGUAUAUUGCUGUUGUGUGGAUUGUUAAUUGUUGUCAAAGAGUUGGUGUGGCAAUCCAAAAGAAAAAAAGCAAAAAAAAAACAAAAUGAAAACAAAAAAAAAAUUGUUAAUGGGUAUGCUAUUUUAUAUAUAUUGCUAUUGUGUGGAUUGUUAAUUGGUGUUGUGAAAAAGGGAUGUGCUUGGUGUGCAUUGUGGUCAUUAAAAUGUAUUAUGUUUUCAUCUUUUUUGUCUUAAUGUAUUAUUAUGUUUUCUACAGUGUAAACUAAAGACCCUGUAAACCUGAAAUUAAAUUUAUGUCAUGUUUGUAUGUGAAUU